CUGAAGCUCUUCGUUUACACCGAAAAGAUGUCCGUGAAAAUCGAACCAUUUUGA
rnacentral:tRNA from 1 species